GGGCCCGCACAAGCGGUGGAGCAUGUGGUUUAAUUCGAUGCAACGCGAAAACCUUACCUACUCUUGACAUACUUGGAAGCUCUUGUAAUGAGAGUGUGCCUUUGGAGCCAAGAUACAGGUGCUGCAUGGCUGUCGUCAGCUCGUGUCGUGAGAUGUUCCGUUAAGUCGGAUAACGAGCGCAACCCUUACCCUUAUUUGCCAGCGAUUCGGUCGGGAACUAUAAGGGGACUGCCGGUGAUAAACCGGAGGAAGGUGAGGACGACGUCAAGUCAUCAUGGCCCUUACGAGUAGGGCUACACACGUGCUACAAUGGGGAAUACAGACGGACGCUAAGCGAAUAGGAGCUAAUCUUUAAAACCGGUCUC
rnacentral:rRNA from 1 species